GUAUUUCAAAAAGAUUGUUUUGGGUUUUUGUUUGCAGGGAGAUGGGGAUGCAGUAAGUUGCAACUUUUUAUUUCUUAGAAAAACAAAUGACAUUUUAAUAGAGAAGAACAGAGAUGAGAAAAGUACAGCAUAUUAUGAGGUCAAAAGAUAUCAAAUACACUUUAGUUGUGUUACUGCCUGGAGUAUGACUGACACGUCCCUUUAAUAUCUGAAACUAAAUUGGUAUUAAAGUUCC